CGGUUGAUCCUGCCGGAGGUCACUGCUAUUNGGAUUCGACUAAGCCAUGCGAGUCGAGAGGGUUCGGCCCUCGGCUGACGGCUCAGUAACACGUGGAUAAUCUGCCCUUAGGUGGAGGAUAAUCUCGGGAAACUGAGGAUAAUACUCCAUAGAUCUAGGAUGCUGGAAUGCAUCUAGAUUGAAAGCUCCGGCGCCUAAGGAUGAGUCUGCGGACUAUCAGGUUGUAGUCAGGGUAAAGACCUGACUAGCCUACGACGGAUACGGGUUGUGAGAGCAAUAACCCGGAGACGAUAUCUGAGACACGAUAUCGGGCCCUACGGGGCGCAGCAGGCGCGAAAACUUCACACUGUGCGAAAGCGCGAUGAGGGAAUCCCAAGUGUUUGCUCGUAAGAGUAAACUGUUUCUUUGUUUAAAACGCAGAGAGAGUAAGGGCUGGGUAAGACGGGUGCCAGCCGCCGCGGUAAUACCUGCAGCUCGAGUGGUGAUCAUUAUUAUUGGGCCUAAAACGUCCGUAGCCGGUUUAGUAAAUGCCUGGGUAAAUCGUGUAGCUUAACUAUACGACUUCCGGGUAGACUGCUAAACUUGAGACCGGGAGAGGCUAGAGGUACUCCUGGGGUAGAGGUGAAAUUCUGUAAUCCUAGGGGGACCACCAGUGGCGAAGGCGUCUAGCUAGAACGGGUCUGACGGUGAGGGACGAAGCCCUGGGGCACAAACCGGAUUAGAUACCCGGGUAGUCCAGGGUGUAAACGCUGCUUGCUUGAUGUUAGUUGGGCUCCGAGCCCAACUAGUGUCGGAGAGAAGUUGUUAAGCAAGCUGCCUGGGAAGUACGGUCGCAAGGCUGAAACUUAAAGGAAUUGGCGGGGGAGCAC
rnacentral:rRNA from 1 species